rnacentral:rRNA from 1 species
AUUCCGAGCUCCACUUCAGCCUCCCGCCCCUCGUGGACCCAGUAUGGUCCACUUCCCAUGGAGCGAUGUCCUGACUGCCCAUGCAGAGCGCCACUGAUACGGUUGACUUCGAAGGAGGUCAAGAAUGGCAACUGUGGGCGCGAGUUUGUGAAAUGCAAGAGCAAGCCAGAGGGACAAAUCGUGAAGAAAUGCACACAUUUUGAAUGGUUGGAUGACUACGUUAAGCGGAUUCAAUUCAAUGGGGCCCCAACCCGGGAGCUCAGUCUGCCGUCAGCACCAACGAAUUUGGUCUCUGCUCUGACAGUUGGGGAUGCAGAUCUGAAGGGGGAAUUAAAGAAGAUGAAUAAGAACUUGAAGCAGAUGAUUCAAUCGAACAAGCAAGCAAAUCUGAUAGCUUUAGGAUUUUACCCCUUUUAUUUUUGUGUAGCUGCUCUAGGA